rnacentral:lncRNA from 1 species
CGAAAGGGGACCCCUUUAGUUCCCCUUUAGGGGAUGAACCAAAGGUGUGUUCCCCUUCUUCCCCUAAAGGGGACGGAGUCCCCUAAAGGGGAAGAAGAAGAGACUUUGGGUGUUCCCCUUCUUCCCCUUUAGGGGACGGAGUCCCCUAAAGGGGAAGAAGGGGUUCCAAAGGGGAAGAAAACGAAGGGGUUCGUCCCCUUUAGGGGAACCAAAGGGGAAGAAGUCCCCUUUAGGGGAAGAAGGGGUUCCCCUUCGGGGAUGACUUUGGGGUUCCCCUUUUAGUUCCCCUUUAGGGGAAGAAGAAGAACUAAAGGGGAACCAAAGGGUGUCCCUUCUUCAUCCCCUAAAGGGGAACCGAAGGGGACUUCCCCUUCGGGGAGCCCAAAGGGGGGGGGCGGAUUCCCCUUCGGUUAUUCCCCUUUAGUUCUUCCCCGAAGGGGAACCCCUUUAGGGGAACCAAAGGGGAUGAGCCAAAGGGUUACCGAAGGGGAUAACCGAAGGGGAUAACCAAAGGUUCCCCCGAAGUGUGUUCCCCUUUAGGGGAAGACAAGGAAAGCGUUCCUUUUCCAUCCCCUUUAGUUCUUCUUCUUCCCCUUCGGGGAUGAACCCCUUCUUCCCCUAAAGGGGACUUCUUCUUCCCCUAAAGGGGAACUUUAGUUCCCCUUUAGGGGAAGAAGAAGAACACUAAAGUUCCCCUUUAGGGGAAGAAGAAGAACACUAAAGUUCCCCUUUAGGGGAAGAAGAAGAACACUAAAGUUCCCCUUUAGGGGAAGAACUUUAGGGGAUGAACGAAGGGGGACCAACGUACUUUAACGUAGGCCGUUGGCCUACGUUAGGUCCUUGCACCAAACGAUNNN